AACGUGUGUAGCAUAAAUGUAGUGUGUUAUAGUUGAGAGGAAGCUAAAAAAUAAUGGUAUUUCCCAAAUUCGGGCUGUUUUAUUUCCCCGAUACAAAGUUGGUGAGAGUUCGAACAUAAUAAGAUGCGAACACAGGAGGGAAGAAUAUCGGAUAGCCUCUCGACAGCAGCUUGAUAGUGAAGAUGGCUAUGUUGAAGUGUGUUUGCCUAGUCGCAGCAGACACGGAGAAGCUAAGACACUGGCGGCAAAAAUACUCUUUCUUGGAGAGAACUUUAAGGACGUUGUAGAAAAAAAAACAGCUUUCCUCAGAAAUGAAGACAUCUGGCACAGCAGCAGCACCACAGCAGCUGUGAGGAGAGUCUGCAGAGUGUACAGUGACACAAGAUGAAGACAGACCAAAGAAAAAGAACAAACAUGUGACUGGACGUCACAUCAUUUCUUCAGACAAUGAUGAGACUGACAUAGAUUCAGCACAAGCCUUUGGAACGAAGA